rnacentral:rRNA from 1 species
AUACGGAGGGUGCGAGCGUUAAUCGGAAUUACUGGGCGUAAAGCGCGCGUAGGCGGUUUGGUCAGUCGGAUGUGAAAGCCCCAGGCUCAACCUGGGAAUGGCAUUCGAUACUGCCUGGCUAGAGUAUGGUAGAGGGAAGUGGAAUUUCCGGUGUAGCGGUGAAAUGCGUAGAUAUCGGAAGGAACACCAGUGGCGAAGGCGACUUCCUGGGCCAAUACUGACGCUAAGGUGCGAAAGCGUGGGGAGCAAACAGGAUUAGAAACCCCGGUAGUCC